rnacentral:sRNA from 1 species
UAAUGAUUGUGAGUAAAUUUCUUUAUUUAAUAUGUAGGAGAUUCCAACGAUGGAUAUACACAUUCCUCAGCCGUUGAUGGAGAUCGUCGUUAGUAAAGUUGCUGAAGAUGGUGUUGAUGCUUUAAAGAACUGGUUGCUAGCUGGGAGA